CUCUCAUUUCUUUCGGAAAGCGGAAACCAGACGACCCAGCGGCCACGGGACGAGCCGCCCCAACUCAACCCCAGCAGGACGCUGGAGGGGCCUCCCUCGCCCGCCUGUCUUCGCCGGCGCUGGUCUCCCGCACCCGGGUCUGCAGUCCCUCCGCCAUCUCGCAGGGAGUUACAGAUAACUUCGUUGAAUGUGUGAAGGAAUUAUCCUGAACUCAGUCUCCGUGGCCAACCUGGCCUCCAGGAUCUCUAGGAUGCUAGGAAGGGAGUGGAGACCCUUGGACCAGGCUAACCACCAUGUGCCACCCUCCACACACCCCUGCCCACGGGACUAGGAAUUCCUGCAGUGCAGGGACUCUGUCUGCUGUCUGGCACAGAAUGGUUGCCCAAACAUACUUCUUGAGUCUCCUGGCUCCCUGGACCCCCAAGUUAUGAAAACUAAACCAGAGCUGAGACCUGGGCUAGGAAGGAAUUGCCUGUCAAUCCGAGGGGUGCAAAGAGGAACCACCAUUGGGUCCAUUAAGAAAUCCACAAAUAAAACAAAAAUAAAUCAGUGCGAGACAGACAA
rnacentral:lncRNA from 1 species